rnacentral:rRNA from 1 species
GUCAAGUCAGCAUGCCCCUUAUGUCCUGGGCUACACACGUGCUACAAUGGCUAAGACAAAGAGUCGCGAGCUCGCGAGAGUCAGCUAAUCUCAUAAACUUAGCCCAAGUUCAGAUUGCAGGCUGCAACUCGCCUGCAUGAAGUUGGAAUCGCUAGUAAUCGCUGGUCAGCCAUACAGCGGUGAAUCCGUUCCCGGGCCUU